AUGUCAACAGACAGCAACAUGAGUCCUGCAAUAACACAUAAAAGGCCCCGGAGGCAUAAACACAGCCAUUCUGGUCAGCAGGAUUGCAAACCCACAGAUGUCUUCAGUGACGACACUUGCAUGCCUCUCACUUUCGCCAACCAGAUGUGCCACGGGGACAACAAGGUGAGGGGGGCCACGCUCCCUCGGAUGGGCUCUGGGGAGUCCCGGGGUAGACGAGGAAGCACUGGGACUCACAGGGUCAGGGAAGGUACAUUUGAGCAGAGCAAAGGCCAGGACAAGCACAAGAUUUCAUCAGCAGUGAAAGGAAACAACAAAAACCGACAGCACUCAGAAUUUGCCGACGUUCCUCUGUAUAGUCGUCCUUCUUUUCCACCAGGUCAUAGAGAGCUGGGCUCUAAUGCGUUGAGCUUUCAGUCAUGUGGGAACUCAAGGACCAAACCUGCAGAGCUGAAGACCCCUACAGUACAGGUGGAAGAGGUAAAUGGGACUUCAGCGUAAAAAUCAAGGCAGAUUGUCUUAUCCCUUUGACUAAAAACUAAUUAAUGGUUUUUAUUCCUAUAUUUUCACAGUUCCUGAAAAGCCAAGAAGCACUGUGAGUUGGUGAGAAACGUCCCAUUAAUGCUACAAGCGACUGAGACUUUUGCAAAAAAAAAACAAAAAAAAAAAGGACAAGAAAUUCUGCACAAAACCAUUUUCUACUUGGGAUUUCCCUCUGUGUUGGAAAAAAUAUGGAAAAAAAUCUUUAAGUCUCUGGACUUCUUUGUUGUGUGCUUUCUUUGUAUUUUUUUCCCUCAAGGACUCUGACCUGCUGGUGGUUGAACGGAGUACAGAUAAUGCAAAUUAGUUGUGGAUGUUUCACUAAAAUAUUGCUUCUGAAAACUGCUUGAUGCAGUUAAUUUGUCUUUUGUUUGUUGUCUUAUUAUAUUACUGUAAAACAGUCAUUUCCAGACAUGUUGUAAAUUGUUUACUGCCACAGAAGUGCUUCAAAUUUUAUAAAAGUGUUGAUGUUUUCUACGUGGUGUACAUCUAGUCUUUGUAUUAUUUGUUCUACUUGGUUAAAAAAAGCACAAUCAGUUACUUUUGUUGUACGGAUACGUUUUUGCUCGGGAGAAAAUCGGUUGUUUAUGAAGCUUUUAAUGCAUAAGACAAAGAUUGUUCAGUGAGUUUGUGCAUUCAGUUGCAUAUAUUUGAGCUGCUUUCAUACUUGUUUAAACCCUCUGUUAUGUGUAUCUUGACAACUGCAUGCAAUUUCAAAAGAAAGGUUCUUUUUCUAUCAUCUUCGGUGCUUUGCCUUCCGUUUAGAAUUAUAAAAAAGAAAACAAAUAAGGAAAAUGGUCUGAUUGCUUUUCUGUGUCAGCUUUUCUGCAACACUUGAAUUCAGCUAAAUAAAUGAUGGAGGAGUGCUGGAAAAUAUUUUGGAGACAACAAUUGUGAUUUAAUGAAUCAAAAGAAUCCAACAUGGUCAUUUCAUAAGACUUGCAAACUGUAUCUGCAAAAUUAAAAAUCAACCAGUACUUCAAGCAAAAAUGAAAUAAAAUAUCAUCUCUGAGGCUAAAGUCCUGCUUUUUAUCAUAACUGAUUGACUUCAGAAUAAAUAUUUAAAGACUAAACCUAAGAAAAUUCUGUCUUGUUUCUCUAUCUGUCUGUACACUACCAUAAUAUUUGAAAAAAAAAAAAAACAAAUGGGUUUAGUCAUAAUUCUUCUGUACUCUACACCUUGCAGCCUUGAAAAAUAUCCAUACUAACAAAAAGGAACUGGUAGUUUCCUCUAAAUGUAUAAAGUUUUGCUCUUUUAGAAAUCUCCAAUAUGUUAAAUUAGGUGUUUGUAUGUUAUCUAAUAGGAAUACCACAAAAGUAUCAAACUUCUUUACUAUAACAAAAACAAAUUCAUCACAGCAGCAGAAACACUGAAUGGGGCUAAAAUGGGCUCGAAAACUAAAACAGGAGUCGGGAAUAUCCAAAUGUUUUUGUUCACCUUUCAGCAUAUCCCUUCAUGGGUCACCACAGUGAAUCAGCUUUGAACAGGUGAUUUGGUAGAGAAUUUAACACCUGAUGCCCUUCCUGACACAAACCUGUAUUUUAUCCGGCCUUGUGGGCCUCUUUAUAGUAAGGCAGUAGCAUGAAGGCCCCUUGCCCAAGGACCCACACUGGAGGAAGCUCAUCAUGCCCCUGGGAAGUGAACCCUAGUUUCCCAUGCGCCAGUCCUACAUGCAUCCAACUUAGGGCUGCACGAUAUGAGGAAAACUCGCGAUAUGCGAAAUUAGAGAUUAAAAUUGCGAUAAAGAUAUAAUUUGCAGUAUAUAAACAAUUAGCAAAAUAACCAAAUAACCAUUCCCAUUACAUUGCAACAGUUUAAAAAUUAUACUCCAAAUGUCACUCGUCGACAUAGGUGACAAACAUCUGACAUAAUAGGCGUCCAUCCGAUUGGUCAAAUGCAUAAAGGGAUUUAUUUGAUUCGUUAAAUGGUUCAAGCUGACAUAAGAUUGUUUUAGCAUAUUUAAGGUUUACGAUUUAUUGUGAUAUUUGCAGUCUUAUGCGAUAUGCAUAUUGCAGAGCUGGAUUUUGCGAUAACGAUAAAUUUGCGGUAUAUUGUGCAGGCCUAAUCCAAUUGAUGUUCAGCUGCUCGUUGAUAUCCAAAAGAACUUGUGAAACUAUUAUGGGAUGGCCACAGGACCUACAGCUUGGUAGCCAUUGGUCAAAGUGAGAAAUUUGACGAUUUUCACACAAUAUUGGAAAAGAAAAUAAGUAAUCUACACAGCCUUUUAUACACAUGCCACAAUGUUAAGUCUGCAACCCCAACAACGUUGCGAUGACUUUUGACCUAAAAAAAAGGCUGAUCUGUGUUUUUUAAAAACAUUACCUUUAGGACCAGCUGCAAAUUUAAACUCUUCCUGGGAAUUUUGAUCUAUAACCUUCUAACUUCUCCAGCAUCAUUAGGAAGCUUUUUGUGAAAGAAAAAACAAAAAAAAAAGGAUUUAUAAGUUGUAAAUCCUGAAUGGCCUUAGUGUGGCUAGCUCGCAAAAGUGGUGUUCCCUUGUUGCUCACACAAAUUUACCCAAAAUAUUGUUAAAAGUUAAUACAUGAAUCCAUGGCUCAAGCUGAACGAAAUGAUAUAGCAUACGAUAUUUUUUGAUUUGAUUUGAAAUGGUUUAUUUCAAGCAAUCAAAUAGGAGUAAUACACAAAAGCAAUAUAAUCAUCAGUUAUACAUUCAUACAGUAACUAAUCAAACUUAGGAUAAUUAGACAUAAUUAAUAAAAAUUGCUUGAAAGGGAGUGGAAAGAAGCGAACUUAUAUAAUCCCACCCCGUUAUACUAUAACCAUUUUAUUUCAUGAUUUAUCAAUAUCCGGUUCCUAGGUUUUAUCAGACAGAAUUAAGAAUCAUAAGGUAUCAAUAAAGCAAAAGCCAAAGAUGAAUUACUUAAGUACUACGUCAAAA
ensembl:lncRNA